UACGAAGGGUGCAAGCGUUACUCGGAAUUACUAGGCGUAAAGGGCAGGUAGGUGGUCUGAUAAGUCUGUUGUGUAAGCUCCCGGCUUAACUGGGAGAGGUCAACAGAUACUGUCAGGCUAGAGUAUAGGAGAGGUUACUGGAAUUCCCGGUGUAGCGGUGAAAUGCGCAGAUAUCGGGAGGAACACCAAUGGCGAAAGCAGGUAACUGGACUAUUACUGACACUCAGCUGCGAAAGCUAGGGGAGCAAACAGG
rnacentral:rRNA from 1 species